rnacentral:rRNA from 1 species
UACGUAGGUGGCAAGCGUUGUCCGGAUUUACUGGGCGUAAAGAGCGCGCAGGCGGUCGUUCAAGUCGCGUGUGAAAGCCCCCGGCUCAACUGGGGAGGGUCACGCGAUACUGAUCGACUUGAAGGCAGGAGAGGGAAGCGGAAUUCCCGGUGUAGUGGUGAAAUGCGUAGAUAUCGGGAGGAACACCAGUGGCGAAGGCGGCUUCCUGGCCUGUUCUUGACGCUGAGGCACGAAAGCUAGGGGAGCAAACGGG